rnacentral:rRNA from 1 species
AUGGCCAUGAGUAUGGCAACCGGCGCCCUGGGCUCCCUGCUGCCCAAGCUGGUCGAGCUCCUCAAGGAGGAGUACAAGCUCAAGGAGAGCGUCAAGGAAGGCGUCCGAUCUCUUGAGGAAGAGAUGAAGAGCAUGCAAUCCGCACUCCGCAAGGUGGGCGAGGUGCCGCGGGACCAGCUCGACGAGCAGGUCAAGAUCUGGGCAGCGGAGGUGAGGGAGCUCUCCUUCAAGAUGGAGGACAUCGUCGACAAGUUCUUGGUGCGUGUCGAUGAUGGCUUUGAGCCUGCUGCCAAUCCGAAGAAGCUCAAACGGCUCACCAAAAAGAUGGUCGGCUUAUUCACCAAGGGGAAGGCCCGCCAUGAGAUCGCCGAUGCAAUCAAGAGCAUCAAUAAGAAAGUACAAGAGGUUGCAGACAGGCGGGCAAGGUACAAUGUUGACAAUAUUGUCCCUAGGCCUUCUGCCGUGACUCCCAUCGAUCCUCGCCUUGGGGCUCUGUACAAGGAAGUAACGGAUCUUGUUGGAAUUACCGGAACAAGGGAUCAAGAGAUAAUGAAGUUGCUCUCAGAGGGGGACGACACGUCCAAGAAAAAGUUGAAGAUCAUCUCUGUUGUCGGAUUUGGAGGAUUAGGCAAGACAACUCUUGUCAAAAUGGUUUAUGACAAGAUCAAGGGAGAUUUUGAUUGCGCGGCUUUUGUUCCUGUUGGUCGAAAUGCUGACGUGAAGAAGAUUAUAAUGGACAUCCUUCUUGAUCUUGGCUUGUACGAAAGUCAGCUAGCCAUGUUGGAUGAAAGACAACUCAUCAACAAACUUCAAAAAGGUCUCGAGAAGAAGAGGUAUCUCAUUGUAAUUGAUGAUUUAUGGGAUGAAAAUCUAUGGAAAAUUAUCAGUUGGGCAUUCUCUAAUGGCAAUAAUGGCAGUCGGUUAAUCACGACAACCCGUAUAGUCAGGGUAGCCAAAUUAUGCUGCUCAUCCAUUAAUGAGUCAAUCUAUCAAAUGGAACCACUUAGUGAUGAUGAUUCUAAAAGGCUCUUCUACAAUCGGAUAUUUUCUCAUGAGAGUGGAUGUCCCCAUGAAUUUGAACAAGUAUCUCGAGAUAUAUUGAAGAAAUGUGGUGGUGUUCCAUUAGCCAUCAUUACAAUAGCUAGUGUUUUGGCUAGUGAUCAGAAAGUAAAUUCACAUGAUGAGUGGAAGGCUUUGCUAGAAGCUAUUGGUCAUGGACUUACAAAAGACCCCAGUAUGGAGGAGAUGCUGAGGAUACUAUCAUUCAGCUAUUAUGACCUGCCUUGUCAUCUGAAGACAUGCUUAUUAUAUCUAAGCAUGUUUCCGGAAGAUAGCAAGAUCCUGAAAGAUCAGUUGGUAUGGAUGUGGAUUGCCGAGUGUUUUAUCCCAUGUGAAAUAGCACAAUCUAGUCUGUUUCAGAUCGGAGAAAAUUACUUCAAUGAGCUUGUGAACAGAAGCCUUCUCCAGCCACUAUAUGAUGAUUUUGGCACUCUACAUGCCUGUCGCGUACACGACAGUGUGCUGGAUCUAAUUUGUCUUUUGUCAAGGGAAGAGAACUUUGUUAGUGUAUUUAAUGGUAGCAUGUCAUCUCAGGGAAAUGUCCGCAGGCUGUCCCUCCAGAAGAUUAUCAAAGAAGGAUAUCAUACCACACCUCUCGAAUCUAUGAGUAUGCUACAAGUGAGGUCCAUUGCAACAUUUGAACCUGCUAUUAGCCUGUUAUCUCGUCUCUCAAGCUUUGUUGUUUUACGUGUAUUGAAUUUGAGUACAUGUGCACUUGGUGAUCAUAAUCUUCGGGGGUUAUGGAGUUUAGUUCACCUGAGGUACCUAGACCUAUCCCAUACAGGACUUUGUGAGCUUUCGGAAGAGGUUGGAAAGUUGCGGUUUUUGGAGGUGCUGGAUGUGAGUGGAAACCAUGGUAUAGAAAAACUGCCAUCGAGUGUUACCAAACUGAGAAGAUUGAUGUGCCUACUUUAUGAGCAGAGUUGCAAUCGGCUUCCAGGUGGGAUUGGAAACAUGACAGCAAUGGAAGAGUUGAGUUAUAUCCAUGUUGACUCUCUACGCAUUGUGAAAGAGAUGGGCAACAUGAAAAGAUUGAGGAAGUUUGAAAUUGAGUUUGAGCAUAUGAGCUUGGAGUUGCAGGAAGCUUUUGUGAAGUCACUAGGUGAAAUGUCCAACGUCCAAAGUAUAACCAUUUCUAUGGAUGGUAGAUGUAAAAUAAUGGAUCUCUUGGGGGAAAAGUGGGUUCCCCCUCAAGGUCUCCAGGCAUUGAAGUCGAAUUGGAACAAAGCAUGUAGAUUCUCUAGGCUGCCAGCAUGGAUAAGAGAGAACCCCUUGCAGAUGUCGCAGCUCUCAUGGUUACAAAUUGAUCUGAAGGAGGUGCAACAGGGGGAUCUGGGACUGCUUGGAAGGUUGCCGGCUCUUCAUACUCUCGAUUUGGAGAGCCUCCGCCAGGGGCCGCUACUAUUCGAAGCUGAUGGGUUCCGUUGUGUAACAAUAUUCAGCUUGUGGUCCAAUUCGCCGGGCCUAGUCGUGAUCCAGCCAGGAGCUUUGCCCAAGGCGGAACAGGUUACGCUCUAUACCGGUCUGCCGGUCGCAAAAGAGGAAGCAGCCGGCGGCAACGGUGGUGAAUUGUUUGACACGGGCAUAGUGAACCUGCCGUCCCUUCAGUGGGUCGAUGUCGUAUUCUGCACUUCGCUACUACAGCGACAGGAGGCCAAGAAAGCGAGUUCUGCACUGAAGACUACACUCCGUGCCCAUCCUAACAACCCUUUCUAUCGUGUCUCUGUAGAAGACAUAUCCAGUGACGACGGCUGGUGGGAGUGA